CGUAACACGUGAGCAAUCUGCCGGGAAGUGGGGGAUAACUCGCCGAAAGGCGAAUUAAUACCGCAUAUGGCCAGGGAAGACAUCUUCCCGAAGCCAAAGUCGCAAGACGCUUCCUGAUGAGCUCGCGGCCUAUCAGCUAGUUGGUGAGGUAACGGCUCACCAAGGCUAUGACGGGUAGCUGGUCUGAGAGGACGACCAGCCACACUGGAACUGAGACACGGUCCAGACACCUACGGGUGGCAGCAGUCGAGAAUUUUUCACAAUGGGGGAAACCCUGAUGGAGCGACGCCGCGUGGAGGAUGAAGGUUUUCGGAUUGUAAACUCCUGUCAAAUGGGAACAAGAAAGUGAUAGUACCAUUAGAGGAAGAGACGGCUAACUCUGUGCCAGCAGCCGCGGUAAUACAGAGGUCUCAAGCGUUGUUCGGAUUCAUUGGGCGUAAAGGGUGCGCAGGCUGUGGGGUAAGUCGGAUGUGAAAUUUAGGGGCUCAACCUCUAAACUGCAUUCGAUACUGCUCCGCUAGAGGUAUGUAGAGGAGAUUGGAAUUCAC
rnacentral:rRNA from 1 species